GCGUUCAACAUAUAUAUCAUACACGAGGGAACCCUAAAACCCAGCGGCAUCCCGAUCUGAGCAAUCCUUCUCGUCCGGCGGCGCUCGGACGAAUGGGCUGGCCUCUGGCCUCGUAGUCGUCGUGGGAUCUGCUGCCGGACGGGUAGUCAAGGCUAUUGCUCUUGUUCCAUUAGAGGGAGUUUUGCUCGAGGCUGCUUGGUGGUUCUGGCUGGGAUGGUGAACGGAGGUUGUCGUGCUAACAAGUCCGGUGAUCGAACCCUGAUGGCGGCGUCAUCGGUCUGAACUUGGUGGUGGUGGGAGAUGAGUUUCUUGGAUCGGGGUUUGGUUUUUCUCUAUGGUGGCGUGGGUUGAGGCGGUGUGGUCUGUGCAGUUUGGGUCAUCGGCGGUGGGCGCUAGUGACAGCGCAGAUUAAAGCAAGUGCAGGUCGUGGCGGCGUGCGGCGGACAGAGCAGGGUUGGGCUGGUUCUUACGACGGGGAUGUGGGAGUGGGUGGACUGGACCGGAUCUGGCUGAAUGGGCCUUGGGUGGACUUUGCUUUGGUGGGCUUUGAGUUUCUGGGCUGGGGUUUCUACCCUAGUCCAAUAGCUUCUAAUUUGGGCUAGGGUUUAGGCUCUUGGCCCAAACCUAUGUUUUUAGCUUUUGUCUAAUUACAAUAAGUUUCUUGUAUUAGGAACCUAACGAGUGUAGUUUGGCUUGUCUAUUCGCUAUGUUUCCAUAGCUUUUAGGCUCGCUUUUAAAGUGAGCGAUUAGUUCGAAUAUAAUUGGUCUAUCCUAUGUACUACUGUGGCUCCUCCACGAAACCUUGAUCUGACCAUUAUUAUGUGUCAGCGGGUGAGUAUGUAAUGGCCUUCUUGGCAUGCGCUAUUAUCAAUGGAAUUACCAUUAUUA
rnacentral:lncRNA from 1 species